rnacentral:rRNA from 1 species
UACGAAGGGUGCAAGCGUUAUCCGGAUUCAUUGGGUUUAAAGGGUGCGUAGGCGGGGCAAUAAGUCAGUGGUGAAAUCUUGCGGCUUAACCGUAAAAUUGCCAUUGAUACUGUUGUUCUUGAGUAUGCUCGACGUAGGCGGAAUGUGCCGUGUAGCGGUGAAAUGCUUAGAUAUGGCACAGAACACCGAUAGUGAAGACAGCUUACGAGGGCAAAACUGACGCUGAGGCACGAAAGCGUGGGGAUCGAACAGG